GAGAGCGCAAGCGCAAGAAGUGAUGUAUCGUGAGCUCCCCUCUGAUUGGUCCACCUUGAGAAGAGUGUGGGAUAUGACUGCUUUGACUGGGCAGAGGCGGAGCUAGGCGGGCUAGUCUCCUGAUGAUCUCUGGGACUUGUAGUUCUGGUCUAGCUUUUUCUACGGAUCAGGUCUUUCCAGGGAUGUUUUGUUGCAGGUUUCCCUCAGGCUCGAGGUUUGCCUCUUGGAGCUGCAGGGGAACCUGCAAUCCGAAGGCAUGACAUGCACAAAAGGAAGAGGGUAGAUGACCUUGCCCACAAUAGAUAGUUUCCAGGAGCCCUGGCAAAUUUACGAAGUAGAGAGAAUUGCCUUCUGCCCCUCCUUUUCACUCAUAACAUCCAGCUAUGAAGGACCUUGUUCUACAGCAUAAUAGCUGCCAGGGGUUUUUUCUUUUCUCUGGAGCACCCAAGGGAACCACCUUCCUCGGAGUUUCCAAUGUUGUCACUGUUCGGGGUGCCAAGUGUCACCAGCAACAGAUAGUGCACCAAACGGGAAGGUGUGAAAUAAAUGUGAGACGCGGGCCAGGCGGAGCAGUAAAGACUGACUCAAUUUAUUCAUCUGAGGGUACAGGUUAUAUAAAGAAAAUCUAGCCUAACUUCAAAGA